AACGAACGCUGGCGGCAUGCCUAACACAUGCAAGUCGAACGAAACCUUCGGGUUUAGUGGCGCACGGCUACGUAACGCGUGGGAACCUACCCUUAGGUUCGGAAUAACUCACCGUAAGAGGUGCUAAUACCGGAUAAUGUCUUCCGACCAAAGAUUUCUUGCCUUUGGUUGGGCCCGCGUUGGAUGAGCUGGUUGGUAUGGUAAAAGCCUACCAAGGGGAUGAUCCUUAGGUGGUAUGAGAGCGUGAUCAGUGAGACUGAGACUGUGACACGGCUCAGACCGCUACGGGAGGCAGCAGUUGGGAAUAAGUGACAAUUGGCUAAAGCCAGAGACAGCAUUGUCGCGAUAGUGAUGGAGGGCUUAUGAUUGUAUAGCUCCUUUGCCCUGGAUGAUAAUGACAGUACCGGGAGAAGAAGCAACGGCUAACACCGU
rnacentral:rRNA from 1 species